AAAGAAUGCCAUCUCCAACUCAAAGUCCAUCAGGCGACACGGCCCAAAUACAGGUGGCUCAUCAUCCUUGGGUCGAGUCUGACCGUUUGGCCGGUGAAUUGAAGUGCCAGACACCACCACACUGGAGGCUCGGCCAUGGUAUCCCACAGCUGGCAGUCAUCACGGAGGGUGGGCUCAUCAUGAGCCAGGAGGCGUUGGAGGGUGGCUCGAGCCUCACUCCAGGCAGCAGGACCAAGGCCCAUGAAGCUGUUCAGGGUGGACUGGAAGACAAUGACACAUUAAUUUACAGCAUAUAAAUUAUGUUGCUGUACAGUACUGGUGUUCAGGAGGGUUCUUGCAUGCUCUGUGACUGGUAGCCCAUGCAUGACCUGGGUUCAGUCAUGCACUAAGUCUUGUUUCCCCUGGAAUUGUUUUAAAAAAGGGUGGACAGGACACAUAUAGGUGUGAGCAAUUAGUUUUAACGGAAUAGGUGCGAGCAAUUAUUUUUGGCAGAAGAUACUAGAACACUACCAGACCACUAAGCUGUAGUUACUGUAUUCCCAUCAGAAAUAAAGGCUACCAUUUGU